rnacentral:rRNA from 1 species
AGAGACAGCAGUCGCCGCGGGAAUACGAAGGGUGCAAGCGUUACUCGGAAUUACUGGGCGUAAAGCGUGCGUAGGUGUGGUUUAAGUCCGUUGUGAAAGCCCUGGGCUCAACCUGGGAAUUGCAGUGGAUACUGGAUCACUAGAGUGUGGUAGAGGAUAGUGGAAUUUCCGGUGUAGCAGUGAAAUGCGUAGAGAUCGGAAGGAACAUCUGUGGCGAAGGCGACUAUCUGGGCCAACACUGACACUGAGGCACGAAAGCGUGGGGAGCAAACAGGAUUAGAUACCCCAGUAGUCCCUGUCUCUUAUACA